ensembl:lncRNA
AAGAACGUUAUGCAGAGUUCCCUUUGGCUGAGUUAAGGGUAUCAGUGGUGAUGCCCACUGAAAAUAUAUCCGUUGUUCUGCUGUGUUUGUUCUUCUCAGUCUCUGCAGUGACACACAGCUGAGCUGGCCUGAUGGUCUCACACACGUGGGAAGCUCUGAGUGCCCUUCCAGUGCCCGAGCCCCAGGGCUCAGCUCCCAUAGCAGGCUGGGAGAGCUGCUGUGCCUCGCUCAGGACGUGUCAGUCCAUCACAGCACUGUGCCAGGCUGGGGAGGCCAGGGCACAGAUUCCAUUCUCAGGCACUGGGGGCUGUCGUCCCAGGAGUCCUGAAACACAGCAGCAAUUGCUCAGCACGUCUGUUUGCUUCUAAACAAGAAACUUAGAAUUAAGCUAAAAAAAGGGAAAUUUGGUGAACAACAAAACAGUGAGUGCCGCCAGCAGGAGGCUCUUCUCUGCAGCCAGCAAAAGAUUAGUGAGAAUCGGUAGCUGCAAGAUGAAGGCUUGAAGAAAAAACCCCACACUUUUAAUCAAUAAGGAUAUUCAGUCCUGCAAACAAGUAAUGGUCUGGGAUCUGUCUUUAAAAACCAAAACAAAACACAAAGCCACGCAAAUCCCACAGACUGUUCCAUUUAUUGCACAGUUGUUACCACAAAGAAUUGCAGACCAAAGCCACGCUGUGCACUCACUGCACAGUGAGUGCAAUCCAGAGGUGUGCAGUCAGAAGCCAGGCCUCCCGUUCUCCAGGUUGCAUGGAUUGAAGGUAUCAGUGUAAAAAUAAAGAGAGGUGUUCCCUGAAGGCUCUGUGGUCUGGAACCUCCUGAGUGGGAGGUUUGUCAGUGCUUUGUGGAGCUGCACUGGCAGUUCCACUGGAGCUGCACACUCACUGGAGUCCAAGCAGUCUCCAACACACCAGAAGUUAUAAAUGGCUUUAUAUUUCAGACUCCUGAGGCAAACGUGGGGAUUUCAGGGAGCACAAAAGCUGACUGUUAGGAGUUAUUUUAACUUGCAGCUCACCUGGAAGGAAAUAUCUAGGAGAGGAGUGUUAGUGCUAAAAAGAAACACUGAUGAGAGCAGAGCAACACCGAGCAGGAUGCACUCACUGUGUAAAAGCUGAGAUGGAG